UACAGAGGUCUCAAGCGUUGUUCGGAUUCAUUGGGCGUAAAGGGUGCGUAGGUGGCGCCCGUAAGUCGGGUGUGAAAUUUCGGAGCUUAACUCCGAAACUGCAUUCGAUACUGCGGUGCUUGAGGACUGGAGAGGAGACUGGAAUUCAUGGUGUAGCAGUGAAAUGCGUAGAUAUCUGGAGGAAUACCGGUGGCGAAGGCGGCAUCCUGGACCGGCAUUGACGCUGAUGAGCGAAAGCUAGGGGAGCAAACGGG
rnacentral:rRNA from 1 species